rnacentral:rRNA from 1 species
UACGGGGGGGGCAAGCGUUGUUCGGAAUUACUGGGCGUAAAGGGUUUGUAGGUGGCCGGCUAAGUCAGACGUGAAAUCCCUCAGCUUAACUGGGGAACUGCGUCUGGGACUGGUCGGCUUGAGGGCCGGAGAGGAACGCGGAAUUCCAGGUGUAGCGGUGAAAUGCGUAGAUAUCUGGAGGAACACCGGUGGCGAAGGCGGCGUUCUGGACGGCAUCUGACACUGAGAAACGAAAGCCAGGGGAGCAAACGGGAUUAGAUACCCCGGUAGUCCUGGCCCUAAACGAUGAAUGCUUGGUGUGGCGGGUAUCGAUCCCUGCCGUGCCGAAGUUAACGCAUUAAGCAUUCCGCCUGGGGAGUACGGUCGCAAGGCUGAAACUCAAAG